ensembl:lncRNA
CUCGAGUGGAAAGUGGUGUUCUCUGAGCAGCGGUAAUGAGGUACUAUCUGUGUUUUCCAUCUGUUUAAGACAGCAGCUUCCUGGGUGGCACUGAACUUUUCCCUCGAUUCAAGGAACUAGAAAGAAGGCUUCGCUCUGGGGCCAUGGAUUGCGUGGGGGUUGUCAGGACCGGCUCAUGUUUAUUGCAGGGGAACACGUUGUGAGUGACUGGCUCUGUGACGACCCUGGGAGUGUGAUGGCAGAGAGGCUAACACAGGGGUCAUAUGUUGUCAAGACGAAAGUCGGAAGAGGGAAAAACGGUGGAAGCUGCAUUACGAGUGACAAGAACAAGGAACUUCAAUACCCCAAACACUACUUAAACACUUUUGAAUACUUCAACUAGCCCAAUAAAGAAAAAGCAACAUUAUGCAAAUACACACAU